UACGUAGGGGGCGAGCGUUGUCCGGAUUUAUUGGGCGUAAAGGGCUCGUAGGCGGCUUAGCAAGUCGGGUGUGAAAACUCCAGGCUCAACCUGGAGACGCCACUCGAGACUGCUAUGGCUAGAGUCCGGUAGGGGACCACGGAAUUCCUGGUGUAGCGGUGAAAUGCGCAGAUAUCAGGAGGAACACCGAUGGCGAAGGCAGGUCUCUGGGCCGAUACUGACGCUGAGGAGCGAAAGCGUGGGGAGCGAACAGG
rnacentral:rRNA from 1 species